rnacentral:lncRNA from 1 species
UCGGAGAAGCUCAUGGGAGUUGCUGGGAGACACACAGCUAAAACAGUGGCUGUGCGGGGUCAAAGAGCACCUCCAGCUCCCUGCCUCAUACCGUCUUUUUAAAUGUGCUCUUUGCAGCGGGAUACGGAGUCAGACGCCGACUAUGAAGUAAUCGUCCCUUCCUAGCAUAUCUAUCUGGAGGAUCUGCCAGCCCGCCUGUCCCAACCCCCGGCAGCUUCCAUCCUCCAUGCUGGGAAACGUGGCUCAAUUCCCUUGGGGGGCUGGUAGCAGCCAGGAGAUGAGGCAACUGCAGACUUUCUUGACUUCUCAGUACCCAUUCCAAAUGGUCCUCAGGGGAGGCAGAUACCGUGGGCUGUACUGGGGCCUGGGUUCCACCCCCGGGGCUGUGGCCUUGCUAUGGAAGGCAGUCCUGGGAGGGCAUGUGGCUGGUUGCCACAUCAGGAGACACACAGCUCUUCACCCCCGAGAGCCUUCUUGCAGCCCCUAGGGGUCCUCACGACUAACUGGAACAGUAAACCCUUAACUCUGAGAACUUUCCACUCCCUAUUCCCAUUCUAUUUUGGGGUUUUACAUUUCAAGGGGGCAGGCUUUAUCCACACUGAAAUCACUCUCCAUAUUUUCCCAGCAGUCUAACAACCAGUCCAGGAAGCAGGCUCCGAGAGACUGCCUAGAAAAAACAGCACCCGGAUCUGAAUUCGAGGCCGUCCCACACCCAUCCCGGUACGGUUCCCAGCAGAACUGAGCUGGAGUGGCCCUGAUGCAAAUGAACUUAGAUCCCAGCUGCUUGUGAUGGAAGCCAAUCCCAGCUUUCCCAAGCUUACAGGUUUUUUCCAGAAGAAGCCAACUUGAUCUCCCGGAACACGAAUUCAGCAGGCUCUCAUCUCAGAACUGCCUCCAAUCCAUCCCAUACCCCUUCACACUUCAGUCCUUGGUAUUUUCUCCGAUCACACCUUCCACUCCUCCUUCAUAUUUGCAAGUCUCUCCCUGCAGAAUCUGCCCCGAGGAGCAAAGGACAUUUUUCCAUGGGGAACAGAAUUUUAGAAUUUCCCUUUGUACCCAGUGAGAAAGACUAAAGUUUGGUAUAGGAAAUAACCCAAAGACAAAUCUAUACACUGCAUAGAACACAGGAAGCCUGGGCUCUGAAAACAUAAAAGACACCAAAUCAUUCCUGGAGCACUUGUGAAGUUUUGGAAAAUUCCUUUAACCUCUCUAAACCUCAGUCUCCUCAUUUGUAAAAUGAACAUAAUAAAUAUUUUUUCUUGCCUAUGUCAAUGGCUUCCUGAUUUCCAAAUGAAAAAAAAAGCAAUUGGAAUUCUUUGAAAAUAAGAAAGCAUUUAAAGCAUAAGCCAUAUAAGAAAUCCAGUGCCUAACCUCCCUUGUGGCCAGUGAGGAACAAAGCUCUGGAAUUUUUACACAGAUUUCUAUUUCCCUGUGGAAGCACUGGAAAGGAAAUGUCAUUCUCACUUUGAAGAGGAAGAGGGAUGCAGCAAGGUAAUAAACGCUUUCUAAAUAAGCACGUUGAUUCAAUGCUUUUCAUUUCUCUUCAGAGGAAACCCUGUUAUUG